rnacentral:rRNA from 1 species
GUAGGGAAUCUUCGGCAAUGGGGGCAACCCUGACCGAGCAACGCCGCGUGAGUGAAGAAGGUCUUCGGAUCGUAAAACUCUGUUGUUAGAGAAGAACAUGCAGGAGAGUAACUGUUCUUGUAUUGACGGUAUCUAACCAGAAAGCCACGGCUAACUACGCGCCAG